GGAUGUUUUCCAGAACCCGGAAGCUGCAAAAUUGGGUUUCAAAGAGAAAUAUGGAGUUUACUCCCGACUUGCGAGCCCGGGAUAAUGUUCCUGAAAAACAUUACUGUCAGAUUGAUGCCAGAAAAACAGUUGGAAAUGACCGAAUCCCACCCAAUAUGAAUAUAUUCAAAGAUAAGGCGGUGUGCAGAAGCCAAAAGUCGAGGAUUUGUUAUUUGACUUUAAUCAUAUCCUAUGGCCGAUUUGUAGUGCAUUUGCAGACUUUGAACACAUCAAUCAAUCAAUUAAUGAGUUUGGAACGUUCAAAUAGAACGAUACCAUAUUUAAAUUAUGUUGCGGCCACAUAUAUCGAUCAAAGCAGCUAGUCCUAAUGGUUAAUAAUAUAAAACACUACGAAACAGAGAAAUAAAUUUUGAGCGUAAAACUCGAUGCGAUAGAUGAAAAUCAAAGGCAGAUGAAACUCGGUUGAAAGCUCGCUGAAUACUAGUGAUGGCACCGUUAGCACUGUAGUUAGUGCGGCGGAAAGGUAGUUGCAGAGUAGAUGACCUCCGCAGGUUUCUAGAUGGCGCGUUUAGGUUGAUCAAGCGGAGAAUGGCUGGGCAAUCGAUCCGGGAUGUCAAAACGUCCGACACUACCAUGGCGCGUGCUGUUUCUCGACAAAGCUGGAGAGUAUCGAGCUGGAGAAGCUGGCAGCGGUCCUCAUAUCGGGUAUUGCGCAUGGGCUGUCGCCAGGGGAGCAUUCUAAGUGCGUAACGCACAAACCGGCGCUGGAUGCUUUCGAUGCGAUGAAUUGCGUUGUUGUAGUGAGGAAUCCAGACAGUAGAGC